rnacentral:rRNA from 1 species
AAAAGAUUUAUCGGUAUGAGAUGGACCCGCGUCUGAUUAGCCAGUUGGCAGGGUAACGGCCUACCAAAGCAACGAUCAGUAGCCGGCCUGAGAGGGUGAACGGCCACAUUGGGACUGAGACACGGCCCAAACUCCUACGGGAGGCAGCAGUGGGGAAUAUUGCACAAUGGGGGAAACCCUGAUGCAGCGACGCCGCGUGAGUGAGGAAGUAUUUCGGUAUGUAAAGCUCUAUCAGCAGGGAAGAAAAUGACGGUACCUGACUAAGAAGCCCCGGCUAACUACGUGCCAGCAGCCGCGGUAAUACGUAGGGGGCAAGCGUUAUCCGGAUUUACUGGGUGUAAAGGGAGCGUAGACGGCUAAUCAAGUCAGAAGUGAAAACCCAGGGCUCAACUUUGGGACUGCUUUUGAAACUGAGUAGCUAGAGUGCAGGAGAGGUAAGCGGAAUUCCUAGUGUAGCGGUGAAAUGCGUAGAUAUUAGGAGGAACACCAGUGGCGAAGGCGGCUUACUGGACUGUAACUGACGUUGAGGCUCGAAAGCGUGGG